CGCGGCCCUUAUCGAAGCCGAUUCAGUCCACUCUUCUGGCUGACUCGGUCAACAAAGGAGCCAUGGUUUUACCGACGGAUGCUGUGAGGGUGUAACUUAUCAGCAACAAUUUGGGAAAGAACAGUA
ensembl:snoRNA